ACUAAAAUUGAUCCAAUUUUCUUAUAACACCCUCUGUGUGUAUUUAAAAAACUGUGUCAAAAUUUGUUGAGUACUUAUAAUAGGCCACCUGGGAUUUCCUCUAGAUGCCAGUUUAAAACCUCUGGAAGAAGGAAGCUGAAGGCAGAGCUGUCGGCCAGAUAAACUGAGUUAUUCCUGAGAGUCAAGGGGGUGGAUGUCCCAUACUGAUCAGCAGUGUUACUUCAUGCCUGUGGCCUUAGGAUCACUAAUACCUGCCUGGAUCAAACCAAGCCAGAGAUGGCCAGGCUAUUUCUGGUACAGAAGAUGUUGCAGUCCUACUUUGAGAAGAUAGUUAUUGGGAAGUAUCCUGGGCAAUGCCCAUAAAAAACUAAUAUGCAUGUGCUUUUCCUGGAUCAUUUAAGCUUCCUAAUUUUGAUUAUGUAGAUCUUCACAGAAUUCCUGUGUCUUAAUAAACACACUUAAUUCUCACAUCUUUGAAAGGCAAACGACGAUCACCUCCCCCCACAAAAAAAUCAAACCUAAGAACAAAAAAUCCUUCAAAGCAAACUUAAAUGCAACAAUGUCUUUCACUUACUUUUCUAUUUAUGUACUUUACCUUGUAGCAAAACUCAAAGAAGAGUUGACCAUACUCUGAAUUUGAUACCCAACACUGCAAGGUAAAUUACAAAGUUGAUUAAUGUGUACUUUAUUUUGCCAUCUUCAUAGAAUGGGAAAUAUACAUAAUAAAUGUGUGUGAGAAUACAGAUGUCAGAUAUCUCUGCAGGGACAUCACAAGCUACUUUAUCUGAAGCCCACUCCAAUCUGGUUUUUGUCAGUGUCCCUGCACUAAUCUGACCUUGACUUCCUUGCUAUUAAAUAUGAUGGUCAAUCUUAAAUUCUCUUUCUGCUUGACAUAUUAGCAGCAUUUGACAUAGCAAAUCUUUUGUUUCCUGAAAUUUGUUUUCUGGACUGUCCACCUACUUUUCUGGAUGCUCCUUUUUAGUCUCUUGCAAGUCCCUCAUUCUCUCUAACUCCAAACAUUAGAGUGUCCUGGUGCUCUCUCUCUUCUUUGUCUAUAUUCAUUCACUGAUUGAAUUCUCUACCUUCAAUCUGGGACUCAUACCCCAUUGCCUAUUUGACAUCUCUUGGGAGGGGUCUGUAUUAUAUGGUUGUUCCCAAUUAUUCACUGCCUUUAUGUAAAAAUGUACUUCUGUUUUAUAAUCAUUCCAUUGCCAUAUGAUUUGCAGUUAACUCUCUGUGGGCAAAAUACAGUUAUUUGCCCCACUGACAUUGGGUUUAGUCAUGCAACAGACUUUGUCCCACAGAGUGAGGGCAUAAGUGACAUAUGUACAUCUGAACAGAUGUUUUAAGAGCUAUUGUAUAAUUCUACGAUUAGUGUUUUUGCAGUUCUAUGAGAAUGCCGU
rnacentral:lncRNA from 1 species